rnacentral:rRNA from 1 species
UACGAAGGGAGCUAGCGUUGUUCGGAAUCACUGGGCGUAAAGCGCACGUAGGCGGAUGUGUCAGUCAGGGGUGAAAUCCCGGAGCUCAACUUCGGAACUGCCUUUGAUACAGCACGUCUUGAGUCCGGAAGAGGUGGGUGGAAUUCCUAGUGUAGAGGUGAAAUUCGUAGAUAUUAGGAAGAACACCGUGGCGAAGGCGGCCCACUGGUCCGGUACUGACGCUGAGGUGCGAAAGCGUGGGGAGCAAACAGG